ACAUGUGGCCAAACCUUUGUGUCAAAGCCUGAUCUCAUCAGAUCUGAGAAGUUAAGCAGGACUGGGCAUGGUUAGUACUUGGAGUGGAGACCGCUGGAAAUACAAGACACUUCACCCA
rnacentral:rRNA from 1 species